rnacentral:lncRNA from 1 species
CAGAUCAGAAGAAAAUUGGGGAUUCUUGACGGCGGUGUCAUUUUUUUUCCAGUUGGAGCUGGGCAGAUCGGAAGAAAAUUGGGGAUUCUUGACAGUGGGUGUUUGGCGGAUAUAGACAAGGGGGCGAGGGUGGCUGAUGUCGGCGACUUCGCCGGAGGAAGGAGACGGUGGAUGAGAGGUGAAGAAGAAGGUGAAAUGAGGAAGAAAGUAACUUAAUUAACUCAAUAAUUUUGGUAGGCCCCACUCAAUUAAAACAUAACACUCAAUUUCUUAAUCUUCGUGCCGAAAAGAAAGUGGCCACUAAUAUUG